AUGUUUCUUUUAAUUUAUAGGUAGAUUACAGUUUAUGGUAUGGAAUUUAAUUUGGAGAGAUUGACCAAUCUAGAUCGUCGCCUAGGAUGUGAAAUUCAACGGUUCGGGUAUAAAGUCUCUCGAGUUAUAUGGGUGGGGGUGAAGUCAAUAGGUAAAAGCUUGAAAUUUUCCGUAGCACCCUUUUACGGUGUUUGUUGACCCUUUUUUUCUUCUGUACGUCCAUUUCGAUUCUAGCAUUUGCUUAUUAUAAGAAAGUUUAUGUAUUGCAUUUGUGAUGAGUAUCCAACGUGGUAAUCAACUACGAAGGGAUGCUUUGUGAACACAAGUCAA